AUUGAACGCUGGCGGCAGGCCUAACACAUGCAAGUCGAACGAGUGGCGGACGGGUGAGUAAUGUCUGGGAAACUGCCUGAUGGCGGGGGAUAACUACUGGAAACGGUAGCUAAUACCGCAUACCAUCAGAUGUGCCCAGAUGGGAUUAGCUUGUUGGUGGGGUAACGGCUCACCAAGGCGACGAUCCCUAGCUGGUCUGAGAGGAUGACCAGCCACACUGGGACUGAGACACGGCCCAGACUCCUACGGGAGGCAGCAGUGGGGAAUAUUGGACAAUGGGGGCAAUCCUGAUGCAGCCAUGCCGCGUGUAUGAAGAAGGCCUUCGGGUUGUAAAGUACUUUCAGCAGAGAAGCGUUACCCGCAGAAGAAGCACCGGCUAACUCCGUGCCAGCAGCCGCGGUAAUUC
rnacentral:rRNA from 1 species